rnacentral:rRNA from 1 species
AUUGAACGCUGGCGGCAGGCCUAACACAUGCAAGUCGAGCGGAGCGGCGGACGUGUGCGUAAUGCUUAGGAAUCUGCCUGGUAGUGGGGGAUAACGUCCGGAAACGGGCGCUAAUACCGCAUACUAUCAGAUGAGCCUAGGUCGGAUUAGCUAGUUGGUGGGGUAAAGGCCUACCUAGGCGACGAUCCGUAACUGGUCUGGGAGGAUGAUCAGUCACACAGGAACUGAGAGACGGUCCAGACUCCUACGCAAGGCAGCAGUGGGGAAUAUUGGACAAUGGGCGAAAUCCUGAUACAGCCAUGCCGAGUGUGUGAAGAAGGUCUUCGGAUUGUAAAGCACGUUAAGUUGGGAGGCGUUACCAACAGAAUAAGCACCGGCUAACUUCGUGCCAGCAGCCGCGGUAAUUC